AUUUGUCUGGUUAAUUCCGAUAACGAACGAGACCUUAACCUGCUAACUAGAUUCUUUUAUUUUAUAGUUGAUAUCUUCUUAGAGGGACUAUGUAAUACAAAUACAUGGAAGUUUGAGGCAAUAACAGGUCAGUGAUGCCCUUAUAUGUCCUGGGCUGCACGCGUGCUACACUGAUGCAUACAACAAGUGCCUAGCCAGACAUGGUAUGGCAAUCUCGAAUAUGCAUCGUGAUGGGGAUAGAUCUUUGCAAUUAUAGAUCUUGAACGAGGAAUUCCUAGUAAGUGCAAGUCAUCAUCUUGCAUUGAUUAUGUCCCUGCCCUUUGUACACACCGCCCGUCGCUCCUACCGAUACCGGGUGAUCCGGUGAACCUUUUGGACUCAUUUGGGAAAGAUAAGUAAACCAUAUCACCUAGAGGAAGGAGAAGUCGUAACAAGGUUUCCGUAGGUGAACCUGCRGAAGGAUCA
rnacentral:rRNA from 1 species